rnacentral:rRNA from 1 species
AUUGAGUGGCGAACGGGUGCGUAACACGUGAGAAACCUGCCCCGGACUUUGGGAUAACAGUUGGAAACGACUGCUAAUACCGAAUAUCACCGUUUCCCCGCAUGGGGAUUUGUUGAAAGGUCCGCCGGUCCGGGAGGGUCUCACGGCCUAUCAGCUUGUUGGGGGGGUAAUGGCUCACCAAGGCAUCGACGGGUAGCUGGUCUGAGAGGAUGAUCAGCCACACUGGGACUGAGACACGGCCCAG